rnacentral:rRNA from 1 species
AGUGAACGCUGGCGGCGUGCCUAACACAUGCAAGUCGAACGAGAACGGAUCUAGCUCGCUAGAUUGUCAGCUAAGUGGCGCACGGGUGAGUAAUGUAUAGUUAACCUGCCCUCUAGAAAGGAAUAACAGUUAGAAAUGACUGCUAAUGCCUUAUAUGCCUUUUUAACAUAAGUUAGUAAAGGGAAAUGCUUUUUGUGCUAGAGGAUGGGACUGUAUAGUAUCAGUUAGUUGGUGGGGUAAUGGCCUACCAAGACGAUGACGCUUAACUGGUUUGAGAGGAUGAUCAGUCACACUGGAACUGAGACACGGUCCAGACUCCUACGGGAGGCAGCAGUGGGGAAUAUUGCACAAUGGACGAAAGUCUGAUGCAGCAACGCCGCGUGGAGGAUGACACAUUUCGGUGCGUAAACUCCUUUUAUAUAGGAAGAUAAUGACGGUACUAUAUGAAUAAGCACCGGCUAACUCCGUGCCAGCAGCCGCGGUAAUACGGAGGGUGCAAGCGUUACUCGGAAUCACUGGGCGUAAAGAGCAUGUAGGCGGAUUGAUAAGUUUGAAGUGAAAUCCUAUAGCUUAACUAUAGAACUGCUUUGAAAACUGUUAAUCUAGAAUAUGGGAGAGGUAGAUGGAAUUUCUGGUGUAGGGGUAAAAUCCGUAGAGAUCAGAAGGAAUACCGAUUGCGAAGGCGAUCUACUGGAACAUUAUUGACGCUCAGAUGCGAAAGCGUGGGGAGCAAACAGG